rnacentral:lncRNA from 1 species
GUGCGAGGACACGUGGCAAGUUGCUGGCUUUGGAGACAAACGGUCUGAACCUUGAAUCCUAGCCCCCCACCAUCUACUGACCCCUGAACCUCUCUGAGCCUGUUUUCUCUUCUGAGGUGAGACGCACAGCCAUCAUCGGCCCCUUAGGGCAGGAUUUACGGUAGAGCAACGUGCUCGCCACCGUGCCUGCCAGAGGGGGCGCUCGACGAAUGGUGCGAUCAUCUCUGGAUGGCAUCCUAGCCAGUGUUGAAGUGAAGAAAUCAGUUACCUUGUCUAAAUAUAUGAAUUUCUUAUCUGAAAAAAGAUUCUUGGAAUCCUUUCUGCCAAUAAAACUUGGAAGUUUUGCAACAACGCCAAUAGGGCGAGCAACUUAGACGUGGAGCUGCCAUGUUGCCUGUAGACACAGCCCGGCUCCCACCCUGUGGUCCCGUUGAAGCAAAUGCACACAGCUAGGACCGGCUUGGACACAAUCACAACGGACAGGAGGGUCAAGAACAGACAGAGGAGCCAGGAGUUAAGUUUGCUUGUGGGAAACAGGAAGUGGCGGGGCAAUUAUGCACAGAGAUUUGGAGAUUGAGGGCUUAAUGUGAUUAAGAAAAUAUUGACUCCUCCAAUUAACAGCUGUUGGCCAGAGGGACCUCACAAGAAAAUGCUGUUUUUAUUUAAGGUUCAAUUGUCUUAGGGAUUGGAGAUGUCUGUGCAAGGCAGGCCACUUGGCAUGGCUAGGAGCCCUGGAGCGGCUGUAGGCAGAGGGCACUGAGCCCAUGGAUGGAGAAGUCACUGUGCCAGGCCCCGUGGUCAGCUUUACAAGAACCAUCUCGUCGAAGUCUCACAAGGCCCUCAUGGGGUGGAGAUGAGGCUAUUACAGUCUUCGUGGGGAAGAAGAGAGAGACUUGCGGAGGGAUGGAAUGUGGACCAGAAGGUGUGUGCAUAGCACACAGACGUGUCCAUACACACCCACGCACCCGUUCACGAGAAGCCCCAGGCAAGUCGGCAGGGGUGAAGGUGCCUCUGUUCACACACACCUCCUUCCUCUGCACCGAUUUCACCCUGCCUGGUUCCUCGGAGGAGGAGAGGCGGGGGAGGGGGAGAAAGAGAAUCCUAAGCGGGCUCCACACCCAGCGCAGAGCCGGACAGGGGCUUGAUCUCACAACCCUGAGAUCAUGA